ensembl:lncRNA
UUUCUAUUCAGGGGAAAAGAGAGGGUUUUUCUGGUGGCUCAGAUGGUAAAGAAUUUGCCUUCAAUGCAGGAAACCUGGGUUCAAUCUCCAGAUUGGGAAGAUCCCCUGGAGAAGGGAGGGGAAAGAGAAACUUCUACAGCUGGAUGAAGCUGUGGAUAUGUUCUAGAUUCUGGGCCAUCCUGACUCCCUGAGCAGCCCAAAUAGUUAUUUGGUAGGUAGACAGGCUGUGAGGGGAGGUGGAGAGGUCCAUACAUAACGAAGAAAAAUGGAAUUAAGAACUAGAAGUCUCCUUCAUUGGGGCCACUGGAGUGAAUCAAGAAAACAUCCAAAAAUCCUCGGCAAGAGUGCUGGAGUGGAUUGCCAUUUCCUUCUCCGGGGGAUCUUCCCGACCCAGGAACCGAACCCGGGUCUCCCGCGUUGCAGGCAGACGCUUUAUCAUCUGAGCCACCAGGGACCUGCUCUGCAGCUCCUCUGUCCAUGGAUUUCUCCAGGCAAGAAUACCAGAGUGGGUUGCCAUUUCCUUCUCCAGGGGAUCUUCGCAACCCAGGGAUUGAACCUGUGUCUUCUGCAUCUCCCACAUUGCAGGCGGAUUCUUUACCUGAUGAGCCAUCUGGGAAGCAAGCAUGAGUAUCUGUUAAUCCCAACAUCCUAAUUUAUCCCUCCCCACC